UUGCUUCGGUAACUGACCUAGCGGCGACGGGUGAGUAAUGCUUAGGAAUCUGCCUAUUAGUGGGGGACAACAUUCCGAAAGGAAUGCUAAUACCGCAUACGGCCCUACGGGGGAAAGCAGGGGAUCUUCGGACCUUGCGCUAAUAGAUGAGCCUAAGUCGGAUUAGCUAGUUGGUGGGGUAAAGGCCUACCAAGGCGACGAUCUGUAGCGGGUCUGAGAGGAUGAUCCGCCACACUGGGACUGAGACACGGCCCAGACUCCUACGGGAGGCAGCAGUGGGGAAUAUUGGACAAUGGGCGGAAGCCUGAUCCAGCCAUGCCGCGUGUGUGAAGAAGGCCUUUUGGUUGUAAAGCACUUUAAGCGAGGAGGAGGCUCCUUUAGUUAAUACCUAAAGUGAGUGGACGUUACUCGCAGAAUAAGCACCGGCUAACUCUGUGCCAGCAGCCGCGGUAAUACAGAGGGUGCGAGCGUUAAUCGGAUUUACUGGGCGUAAAGCGUGCGUAGGCGGCUUUUUAAGUCGGAUGUGAAAUCCCUGAGCUUAACUUAGGAAUUGCAUUCGAUACUGGAAAGCUAGAGUAUGGGAGAGGAUGGUAGAAUUCCAGGUGUAGCGGUGAAAUGCGUAGAGAUCUGGAGGAAUACCGAUGGCGAAGGCAGCCAUCUGGCCUAAUACUGACGCUGAGGUACGAAAGCAUGGGGAGCAAACAGGAUUAGAUACCCUGGUAGUCCAUGCCGUAAACGAUGUCUACUAGCCGUUGGGGCCUUUGAGGCUUUAGUGGCGCAGCUAACGCGAUAAGUAGACCGCCUGGGGAGUACGGUCGCAAGACUAAAACUCAAAUGAAUUGACGGGGGCCCGCACAAGCGGUGGAGCAUGUGGUUUAA
rnacentral:rRNA from 1 species